rnacentral:rRNA from 1 species
GUGCCAGCAGCCGCGGUAAUACGGGGGGAGCAAGCGUUGUUCGGAUUUACUGGGCGUAAAGGGCGCGUAGGCGGCCACCGCAAGUCAGUUGUGAAAUCUCUGGGCUUAACCCAGAACGGUCAGCUGAUACUGCGGGGCUAGAGUGCAGAAGGGGCAACUGGAAUUCUCGGUGUAGCGGUGAAAUGCGUAGAUAUCGAGAGGAACACCUGCGGCGAAGGCGGGUUGCUGGGCUGACACUGACGCUGACAGCGCGAAAGCUAGGGGAGCGAACGGGAUUAGAAACCCCCGUAGUCC